UAGAAUGAACUAAUAUCAUUAUUAUCCCUUGGCGCCAUCAAGCUGACUGGGAGAUGACACCUAGACCUCGUCGAACUCGUCAUAGUAAUCCUCCUCCGAUGGCACCUGCUCUUCACCUAGGGGGUUAUUGCAAGAGUGAGCUCAGAGAUGUUCAUUGCUCAGCAAGUGUGGGGAAUAAUGUGCAUGAGCUCACUUAUGGUGGGGGCUCAUGUGUAGUGUAAGGCUGAUCAACAAAUAAUGGUUAAGACAAUGCAUUGCUUUUAAUAAGUUGGUCUAAUGUUAUUAGUAGUUACUAUGUAUAAGUAAAUAACAUCCCAAUAAAAUAAGAGAUCACAAUUAUAAUAAUUCCCACAAUGCGACGCAUAUGACAGAUUAAGUUCAAUUCCAUAAGUUAAUCAUGUGAGAGUCCUGAGUCGCUCUUGACCGCGAGCACGACUGAUAUACUAGUUUUACACUCUGCAGAGGUUGUGCAUAUUUACCCACAAGAUGUGUUCCCUUUGUCGCCUCAGGUUGAUCAGACCCUUAAACAUUGCCAAGGUGAGUAGGCGAGGGUACACUGUGAGGCCUUUACAAAGUUCCACUAGAGGAGAGAACCCACUACAGUUUCUAGGCCGAAAUCGGUAUAAGAAUCCUUCAUCCGAAAAGCUAAAAAAAUAGUCUGACACAAGGACCUCCCUACACCUGCACUCCUCCACCCCGCUUACCCCUUUCGGGAAAGGGUUAACUCACACUAACUUUUCUAAUUAGUCAGCCCUUUUAUUUGUUAUGAUCCCAAACGAUAGAUUCGUUGAGUUCUUGCCAAUAACCAUGGCCGCUGGAUAAAAACAUUAAACUGAAAGCCCAGACAAAAUGAGCGCCUAAGAAAAAAAGACCAUAUGCAGAUAAUGAAGAACCAUAAAACUGGAUUACUUGGGAUGCCUGUGUCCACAAGAAAUCUCGAAGCCAACCAUUAAUCGUAAUGGAACUCUACGUGGCAAGAACUCAUUGAAUCUAUCGUUUGGGCUCAUAACAAAUUAAAAGGGUGUUCCAUUCCACCCUUGUGGUAGCACGGUUAUCUCAAGUUAAGCUCCUUGUUCCAUUUAACAUCAUAAUCUUAUCAUGAAUAUUAAAUAAUCCAAUAACAAUAAAAAAACAUGAUCAUGAAUCAUAUGUUUCUUAACACCCAAAACCACAUAGAGCAAUAGCAGAUACUACUCAAAAGUUUAGUGGUAAGUAAGGUGUAAAGUAAACCAAACUAGGGUAACCUAUUGGGUCCCAUCAUUUUAACCUGAGCAUAUAAUAGUGAUUCACAGGACCAUUAUUGGGUAAAGAAGAGUGAUCAAGGGCACAACUUGCCUUCAGCGAGCUCCUGCUUAGAAUUUUCCACCUGCUGAGCUCCAGGUUCCUCGGUCACUUGCUUGUCUACUCGCAACAAUACAAACAAACAUGAUAUACUAAAAUUGGAGUUAGAACAAAGAAGAUAUGGAAUUUCUAAAUUUUCUUUAAUUAUUUUAUACUAUAAAUCAAUUUCCAGGCUUUUUAUCUAUUUUCAUUAUUUAUUAUGUAUUAAAAUUGACUGCGGGUCAUAUAACCCAAGAGUUCGGGGUUGAUUUCAUUAAUUUCAGGGCCUUCUUGUAAUUAUUUUCACCUAAGGCCUGGUUUGGAUACUCUAGUAAUAAGUGAGAUUGGAGUGGAUUAAGAUGUAUUGAGAGAGUAUUUGAUCUAUUAGGGAUUUGCACCCUCUCCAAUCCCUUCGAAACACUCCAAUCCCAAAAUAUCCAAACUAGACCUAAGGGAGGACGAUGGGUUUAUAUUUAGAAAGAACAGGAGCUCUUACGCUAAUAUACCGCAGCAAAGGGGUAUCGACCCAUGAGCACCAUUGCAUGCAAGUUCUACAACGCAGAUUACACAGCGACUUCAAUGAACCAGUAUUCGACUUCAACCGUAGGAUCCAAGAUCCACGGUUCCCGGCCCACAACACCACUCCCCCUCAAUCAGCCGCCCGAUGAUGGAGCUAUGGUUUGGAUUUAAAUCCUUGGAAGGGUAUACUCUGAUAUAAUCUCCACCGUCCAGAUUGCACCCAAUGGCUGGCACUCUUCUCCCUCCACCCGAGCACCCGCGUGGCGGCUCCCACGCGAUUCAUGGUGGCGCACUCCGGUGAGCCCUCUGCGUCAAGAGUUCUAGUGUCCCAUCUCACAGAUGGCUCGGUACUAUUCGACAUACGGAGUAUAGCGAAUAAAUGGAGGUGAAGUUUACCGGUAAUAAUGGGUUGGUGAAGGCGGUUCACGGAGCAAGGCGAGAUCGCGGCGUGAUAGGAUUCCGGCGAGGAAUUCUGCUCGUCCCGGGCUCCAAUUCACAUCGGGGCGGUGACGAUUUCACACCAGGGAACACUUCGAAGGUCUCUGGGCUAGCCUCGCGCUUCAAUCUGCUACACAGGCGAAGAGCAGAUGUGGCGACUCUCCUUCUCUCUCUUCGCAGUGCUGGCACGGUAGUUUGGAUAGGCGCGGUCAAGGGUGUCCAGCCCUACUGUAACCCUCUGAAUUUGGGGUAUAAAAUUUCUUCUUUAAAUACCUAGAAAAUUUAAGUGUUACUUCUUUUCUCACUUCUAUAGUGUUUCUUUUCUACUUUUUUAAUAGAAUUUUGGGUUAAUUAUGUGGGAGAUGUAUUAUUUUCUUGAGAAUAUCAAAACUUAGGGUAUAUGUAAAUGUUUGCAUCAUGCUGAGACUAGAUUAU
rnacentral:lncRNA from 1 species